rnacentral:rRNA from 1 species
GCCAGACUCCUACGGGAGGCAGCAGUGGGGAAUAUUGCACAAUGGGGGAAACCCUGAUGCAGCGACGCCGCGUGAGUGAAGAAGUAUUUCGGUAUGUAAAGCUCUAUCAGCAGGAACGAGACAAGACGGUACCUGACUAAGAAGCCCCGGCUAACUACGUGCCAGCAGCCGCGGUAAUACGUAGGGGGCAAGCGUUAUCCGGAAUCACUGGGUGUAAAGGGAGCGUAGACGGCUGUGCAAGCCUGAAGUGAAAGGCGGGGGCCCAACCCCUGGACUGCUUUGGGAACUGUACGGCUGGAGUGCAGGAGAGGUAAGUGGAAUUCCUAGUGUAGCGGUGAAAUGCGUAGAUAUUAGGAGGAACACCGGUGGCGAAGGCGGCUUACUGGACUGUAACUGACGUUGAGGCUCGAAAGCGUGGGGAGCAAACAGGAUUAGAUACCCGGGUA